rnacentral:tRNA from 1 species
GACAGAGAAGCCAAAUGGUUAGGCUGCGAUUUCAUAAGUCGUUAUUUGUGGGUUCGAAUCCCAUCUCUGUCA